rnacentral:lncRNA from 1 species
UGAUAAGUGAAUUGUGAACAACAAUUACAAUUCAAAUACAGUAGUUGAUGGGCGUGCGGCACACAUGACCGACACAACUCGGCAGUCGGCACCAGAGCACCCCCCCCUACCAGAUCAUGCUGGAUCCAUCCCUGUAUUUAUAUUCUUCCAGUACUCUCUGUUCUCCCUAGAUCUAGUGUUACUACAGGAGGAAACCUAAACGAAACUAACUAGUACUAACACUAUCAGGGGCCCGGAAAUGUAGGUGUGUAUAGGGGGNNNNNNNNNNNNNNNNNNNNNNNNNNNNNGGGGGGGGGGGGGGGGACGUUAGUGAUAAACUAUUUUUUUCAAAAAUAUCCCACCAUGAUGGAAAGUUUUUGACAAAUUUAUGCAUACCAUCAGGUAUACCGGGGUUAUGGCCUCAAAGUUAUGCGGUUUGACAAAUAGCAUUCUUAAUUAAUGCUAAAAUUAUUUCGGUGCCGACGAUGGUGGUUUCUGAAUAGCUUAUUUAGUAACAAACCAAUUUUUUUCCACCAAUAAAAAAUCCAACACUUCUAACAUCAGUCAAAUUACCAAACAUAGAGUUUUUGCCUGCCUAUAUAACUACUUUAUACCGGAAGUCGGUCUCACAAUGGCGGAAUUGAAAACUUUCGUUGCAAGAGGAUCAAAUGUACUAAGUGCUAAAUUGUGGCACAUUUAGGAAAAAUGACAAACUUUUUUAGUCAUGGCGGAAAUUGGAAAAUUGUUUUCCUCCUUGUAUAGAG